UACGGAGGGUGCAAGCAUUAAUCGGAUUUAUUGGGCGUAAAGGGCGCGUAGGCGGAAAGAAAAGUCUUUUGUGAAAUCCCGGGGCUCAACCCCGGAACAGCAUUUGAAACUGUCAUUCUAGAGGGUAGGCGGAGAAAACGGAAUUCCACAAGUAGCGGUGAAAUGCGUAGAUAUGUGGAAGAACACCGGUGGCGAAGGCGGUUUUCUAGCUUACUCCUGACGCUGAGGCGCGAAAGCAAGGGGAUCAAACAGG
rnacentral:rRNA from 1 species